CGAAGGGGCGUCUCGAACGAUGGGCGACAACGACGAGGGGGAAAUUAGCAGUGCCAUGGCGGCCCCUUGGCUUGGCUCAAAGAACGGCACAUCCUCCUCUUCCCACGGUCACUGACGAAAAGACCCGACAGGAGGAAGGAGGAGCUCUCUCCCUCAUGAAAUGCUUCCUGCUAGUGCGAUUUUGUCAAGGUGAAAGUGUGGCUCCGGGGCAAUGCGGAUCGCUAAUACGUUUUCUCCAAAUUUCUUCUUUGAAGAUGUCUUAACUCAUCCAACCUUCUGGUGAAGAUUAAUAAACGCAGUAGGGGCUCUGGCCUGUUGGCAGCGGCAGCCGCAGAGGCGGGCGGUUGGUUCUUGUGAUGGCGGAGGAGGAGCUCCUUCUGGCGGCGGAUCUCCAUGACCUUGCGAUGGGAGUUGGAGUGCUGGGUGAGCACGAAGGCUGGGCUGGCCGCCGGUCGGUACUCCGGCAGGAGCCGCCCGGACUUGUACCUCACCCCGCACGCGUUGCACAGCGUCUUCGGCCCCAGCGGCCCCGUCCGCCACUGCGGCGUCUUCUCCGAUGCGCAGUGCAUGCACCGUCGCACUCCGCCCGCCGCUCCGACGCCCCAUCCGCUUUUCUUUCCUCCACUACCGCCAUUACUGCCACUUCCUCUGUUGCUAAUACACUUAAUACCGAUGGAAUCAGGUUGGGAAGGUGGGAAAUCAGACGAGGACGAGGACGAGGACGACGGCGAGGACUGCGGUGGUGGCGUUAACGAGGACCAAACCGUGGUAGGAUUGCUGCUCCUGGACCGCUUGCUUCUCGCUGCGCAACGUGCAACGCAUUGGUCCACGCCUAGCUGGUUGUCACCGGCAAUGCGUUGGUCCACUAAGAGCUGCUUGUCGCUGGCGGGGGUCGUAAGGCCGGUGUACUGGUAAGGGACGUCAGAGAAAGAGUCCUCCACGAACUGCGACAGCCAUUCCAGCUCCGCCGCCUCUUCGCUCUGCAGGAGAGGAGAAACAAAUCCAGACACAACGAAAGAGAAGAGAAAGAAGUCGACUGGGUGUUCUUCGUGGACGUGCUCACCGGAACGUAGAGGUCGAAAGAUGAGUCUGUUUCUGCGGUUCCACCGGCAGUAAAGAAUUGGGUGUCAGCACCAAAAGCUGAGGGGAAGAGAUCGCGGCCGGAGAAGUCGAGGACGUCGGUGACGCGGAGAGCGUCAACGGCGGGUGGCAGGCCGUAAGGAUAAGCUGGAGCAGCAGCAUCUUGCUGCGGUGCAACGGUAGCUAAUGAAGCAGAGUAGGAGGAAGCUGGCGUUCUCAUUCCGAAGUCCAUAUCCAGCGUCAUCGUUUGCUUCCGCGCCAUUCAUGCCAGCAAAAGAGGAGAAUUCCCUUCUCUCCUACAGCAACAAGCGACGAGAAAUAGUUAAGCUGGUUGUGGUAGCGAAACACAGACUGGGGGGAAGCAAUAAAGCACUUGCAUUAUGGAAGACACCGACGCCAACGUGGAUUAAUACGACUUCCUCUCAUGACAAACGAGAGCAACAUGGGAUAAUAGUACAUGUAUACAUAUAGUUCGCUCUCUUCGAGACAAAUGUACAUAUUACCACCGUCAACCCUCUUUACCUGUGUCCGCUGGAACACUUGUCCCAAAGAGGAUGACGUGGUUCACUUGUCUCCGCUGGAACAGGAAACGAUCCUUCAUUACCGCCC